UGACGACCAUAGAGCGUUGGAACCACCUGAUCCCAUCCCGAACUCAGUAGUGAAACGACGCAUCGCCGAUGGUAGUGUGGGGCUUCCCCAUGUGAGAGUAGGUCAUCGUC
rnacentral:rRNA from 1 species